AUUGAACGCUGGCGGCAGGCUUAACACAUGCAAGUCGAGCGAGCGGCGGACGGGCGAGUAAUGCCUGGGAAACUGCCUGAUGGAGGGGGAUAACUACCGGAAACGGUAGCUAAUACCGUAGAACAUCAGAUGUGUCCAGAUGGGAUUAGAUAGUAGGGGGGGUAAUGGCUCACCUAGGCGACGAUCGCUAGCGGGUCUGAGAGGAUGCCCAGGCACACUGGAACUGAGACACGGUCCAGACUCCUACGGGAGGCAGCAGUGGGGAAUUUUGGACAAUGGGGGAAACCCUGAUCCAGCCAUCCCGCGUGUGCGAUGAAGGCCUUCGGGUUGUAAAGCACUUUAGGCAGGAAAGCGGUACCUGCAGAAUAAGCACCGGCUAACUCCGUGCCAGCAGCCGCGGUAAUUC
rnacentral:rRNA from 1 species